GGUGGAGGCCAAGAAGAGGAGGAUGUGGAGGUACCGUCUGCCUGGCUUUGAGUUGAGGCUCCUGGAGGAACUACAGAGACAGAAGCACAACAGUCUCUACUGUGAUACCCUGUUACAGACUGAUGGAUUGUCAGUCCCGGCCCACAGCUGCAUCCUGGCUGCCCUGAGCCCCUACCUGUCCAAUGCCCUGUCCAACCAGUCAUCCCCCCUCCCGGCUGGGCAGAGAUGGCCACUCAAGCUCCAGGCUGUGAAGGCCCAGACCCUGCUGAAGCUGGUGGAUCUCCUGUACUCCGGAGAGCUGGAGGGAGAGGGCACCAUGGAACAAGAAGAGGUUAUGGCCGCUGCCUGUAAGCUGGGCAUAGGCCGCUUGGUGGAGGGGUGGAAGGACCGGGGGAGGGAGGGAGAGGGGGAGGAGGAGAGGAGGUGCAGUCUCAGAGAUGUGGGGGUGCAGACGGAGGGAGGCGAGACACAGGUGGGGGUGUUGGUGGAGACGGGGACACAGACUGUGGACUGUAAUGGAGGUAUUUACAUGACUUUCCUCAGUCCUCUCCCUGAUACUCUCCAUACACCCCUCCUACUAGUCCAGAGCAGCAGUGAAGGCCAGCAGCACACAACUCACACGGCACUCCCUUCCCUGAGUCCCCAGAUUAUGACCCCCACUUCACACCCCAGUUCCACCCCACCCAGCGUCAAAGCAACGGUCAACUGUGGAACAGCUCCCUUUAGAACCCACCCUCGGACCUCCGAACCGGAGGUCACAAACCUGAGCGGUGACAUGGUCGCCCCGAGUGACGAUUCAGACCACCCCACGACAACCCGGGAGGAGAGUGCCAUCCCAGAAUGCUCUGUGGCGGAGAACGGCGUGACGGAGAGGAGGAUGGAGAAGAAGAGGGAGCAGCAGCUGACAUCACACACUGGGAGAGCAGAGGAAGGAGGAACAGGGGAGUGUCUGGAGAAGAGAGGUAUGAGGGAUGACAGUUAUUUUACACAUCCUUUGGGGUUUCUAGUUAUUUUCUGAAUCUCAUAUUUAGCAUGUUGUUUAUUUGUAUCUGUGUCAUGUACUGUAAAGUGUGUUGCCGUGUAUAACUGCACUGUAAAUAAGAUGUGAUGUGAUUGUGAGGUGUGGUUGGGAGGAAGUGGCUGACCGGACAGAGGCUGGAGGACACUCAGAUCUCCAUCAAGGUCAAGCUGAGGAGGAGGACCAGGGGACAGGUAGGUGGGGUGUCCAAAAUGGCACCCGGUUCCCUAAAUAGUGCCCUAGUUUUGACCUGGGCCCUGGUGAAAAGUAGUGCACUGUGUAGGGAAUAGGGUGCCAUUUUGGAUGUUGAGUUUUUCUUUGCUAAUGUGUGCCUCUGCUUGCUGUCUGGAGUCCAGGCCGGGUUAAUGUAAAACCCCUUAUUCUCACUCUUUUGAUCUAAAAACUGCUUUAUCAA
rnacentral:lncRNA from 1 species